AGAACGGUCGCCGCGUCGCCUCAGCACGGACCUCCAGGGAGCUCCUCAGCAAGAUCCUGCCAGGGCGCCCCUCAGCGCGAUUCUGCCGGGGUGCCUCUCAGCGUGGUCCUCCCCGGGGCUCCUCAGCACGAUUCUCCCGGUGCGCCCCUCAGCGCGGUCCUCCUCGGUGCGUCAGUCAUCGUGGUUCUCCCCGGCGCGCCCCUCGGCGCGGUUCUCCUCGGGGCUCCUCAGCGCGGCGCUCUUCUGGGGGCUCCUCGGCGCAGUUCUCCCCGGGGACUCCUCGGCGCCGUUCUCCUCGGGGCACCCGGGGCUUUUCGGCGCGGUUCUCCCCGGGGGUUCUUCGGCGCGGUUGUCCCCGGGGGUUCUUCGGCGCGGUUCUCUCCGGGGGCCUCUCGCCGCGGUUCUGUUCUCCCCGGGGGCUCCUCAGCAUGGUUCUCCUCCGCGCGGUCCUCCCUGGGCCUCCUCAGCGCGGCACUCUCCUGGGGGCUCCUCAGCGCGGCACUCUCCCCGGGGGCUCCUCAGCGCGGCACUCUCCCGGCGGCUCCUCAGUGCGGUUCUCCCAGACUCUCCUCAGCGCGGCCCUCCCCAUCUCUCUGGGAGGGUUUGAACACGGUCAGCACGGACCUGGGCGGACGGCGCGGGACGGGUGAUCACUGGCGUUGCUGAGGUCCCCUGCCUGACUCCAGCAUACCCAGGCCCUAGAAGCACCAACUCCAUGGCUGCAGCUGAGUGGAGUGUGUGCCUGCCCAAGCCUAGAGGGGUGCUGACCCCUCCCUCGCACGAGGAGACAUCAAAGGGAAGCAGGAAGCAGCGGCCUGGCUGACCCACAGCGGGUGGGAGAAGUGCAGCCUCACAACUGCUGGGGAUUUUCCAUCCCACCAGGAUUUCCGCGGGACACCCCAAGUCCAGCCUUUGAGGCUCCUCAGGAACCAGAGUUUGGCCUGGAGCCAGUUGGGGCAGAGGAGGGGGGCCAGGCUGGGUGGCUUAGGGGUGUGGUUAGGCCUGCUAAGGGGCUCCUCUUCUCAGUCUCCCCAUGAUUUGCUGGUUACUGGCUUGAAAUCUGGGCCCAGACCCAUUCCAACACUGAACCCUGAGCUCCCUGAGACCUGGCUGGCAAGGACAGGUCCCAAUUUUUACAGGGGCCUGAGAGGAAUGGAGAAGGGAUCUCUGCCCCUUCCUUUCUCAGUCACACCUCCUUGACAGGGGGUCAUCAGAGUGGGCUGUGGUAGGUGCACCAGGGAAGGGACCAUACAGAGGAGGCUGGUCUCAAGUCCUAGGGUGCCUGGGAUGGCCCUAUUGAAAUGCUGCAGCAGCUCUUGUGCAGGCAGGGAUCUGUAUGGACAGCUGGGUGGACACAGGUGCCUACUGACCUCCCAGAUCCUUCAGCAGAGCUCAGCCCUGAGUGACAGCCCAAGGCAGACCUGGCUACCUCAGCCUCUGGCUCACAGCCCUCAGCCAGAGCCCUGAGAGGCCUGGGAUCUCAAAGCUGCAAGGUGGGAGGCCAGAGGAGAGAAGCCCGGAGCUGGUAGUGAUGCUGGCUGAGUGAAAAUUGCACAUUUCCCAACAGUGUGAUGCUCCCUAUCCAGCCUGGGCUUUUGGCAGACUUCUGUGCUUUGUGGAGGAAGCUGGCUCAGAUUCCUCCCCUCCCUGUGCAGUUUGUGUGUCAAGGUGUACUUGUCACACCCAACUCAGGAUAUCUUGCAUCACUUUGUGGGUCCUUGUCCCCCAGAGCUGGGACUGCUGAGUUUUAGCCCUAAGCUCUUGCUCCCAUCUUAGCAAGUCAGGGCCCAGUGUUGUCCUUGCCUCUGCAUCAGGAUGGUAAGCUGGGCAUGCUCCGCAUCACGGAGACCUGCAUGGACCUGGAUUGGGUUGCCUCUAUCUUCAGGCUGGUCACUGGGCAGACACAAACCAGGGCCUCUGGCCAGAGGGGACAGUGGCUCUGAGUUACUUGUGCUGCUCUUUAGGGGUGAGCAGGGGCUGCUUGUGCAUCAUAGUGUAUCACAGGGGAUGCACAUUUACAAUUGAAAGCUACUGGUCCUGGGUAGAAGUGGGGCCGAGUAGGACUUCCCAGCCUUGAACAUGGGUUUGUCAUCCAACUGGGACCCACACUUGAUCCAGCGGCCAUGCUCUGUGCAGCCUGGGCCUGAGGGCAGCCACGCUCAUGUGAAAAGUGCUAGUAGCCAAGCUGCCAUUCUAGUCACCACAGCUGUCCUUGCAGGAGCACAUUGCCCAGGGCUGGGAGCUGUCAUUUCCGUGACGGGAGUGAGACUCAACACUGGGUGAGGGUGGGGGUAUCUGUUGGGAAUUAUUUCAAAACAAUUGUGGAAACUUGGCAGUGGAGGGGCUCUGGGCAUAGGUAUCCACAAUAUCCUAGUCAGGGGUUGGGGUACCCUGGCUCUGCUGAUAAGCCCAAGUGAGCAUACUCCUCCCCCAGCUUGGAACAGGUGGGACGGGCCAGGUGACACUAGUGUGGUCUGUGGUCUGGCCUCCCAAGCCAGUGGCAGUACUGGGGUGGCAGACAUUUGCUGUGUGCUAUCCCAAGGCCUAAAGGUCACACAGCUAGGUUGGAGCAGGGUUUUGGGCAGGAUGAGUAGGCAUUGCUGUGCUCUCAGAAAGGCGAAGCAAACCCCAGAAGCAAGGGGGCGAGACAGGGCAAAGGCCUACACUUUGCCAUCAACUCAGGCCUACUCAAUGCUGGCCCUGUCCUUCCCCUGCCCCUGCCCCAUCAGAUGGUGCGAGCUGGCGGGGCUUAGAGUGAGCCCCCCUGACUCUUCUUGGUGUGGAGUCUGAGGCCCAGAGUGUACAGGCCUCAUCCGUGUGACCCAGCAGGAGGAUGGGAGAGUGGGCCCAGAACUUGGUCAGGCUCAUCCGUGGAGAACAAGUUCUUCCCUAGUCUAGUUGUGGUCUGAGUCCUGGGUGAAGCAGGAGGCAGCCUGGGAAACAGCCUCGUUCUAGUAGGAAUCGCAUUCUCAGGAACGCUGACUGUGCAGGGCCCUUUCUCACUGCCACCUGGGAGGAUGCCUGCCUGCUGGCCAUUUCGGCGGACUGUCAGAGCACCCUCCCUGGGGUCCCAGACCGAAGGCCUGAAGUCCACAUGGGACCCCUGAACUUCUGGUACCUGUGUGGGCUUGUCCCCUCAACCCUGAGUGGAAUGGCAACAGCCAGCUGCAACCCUCCUAGCUUCCUGUCAUGUGCUGUAUGGAAGGGCCAAGAGCUGUAGUCAUCUGCAGAUCCUCCCACUGCACCUGUAGGACUAGCGUCUCCUGUCUGGAUGUGAGCAACUUGCUGGUGGCCUGUGAGAUGGGAGUUGCACUGGGCUUCUGGAUAAGGGCUUCUCGUUCAGGUGACAAUUCUAUGUGAAGGAGACCCAUGGAAACACAUCUAUCCCCUGCCCAUGUACCAGGCAGAGAUGGUACCUGCCCAUGUACCCUCCAUGACAUGGCUGGGUCCCUGAAACAUCAGACAGAUCGAUACUCUGUGUGCAUGUUUGUGGGCAAGACACAGUGGCACGUGUGCCCUGGAGUUUGGUAAUGGGAGGACUGAAGUAGUGCCUCCGUGUGUGAGCUGUGCCAGCCAUCCCCACGAAGGGGGCAUUCCAUGCAGAUGGGGAUCCUCUCCAGGCAGCUUCUUCCACACCUGAUUAGCUCUGACCAUCAGACCCCCCGUGCCAAAAGGGCCCCUUCCCUGGAAUCUGUAAUUCUCACAGGCUGUCCCAUACAUUUUAAAUCCAGGAAAUGUGCUCACCCAUGAGACAGGGAUGGCAAGAAGAUAUGAAUGAAAAGCAACCAGUCCGUAAAAUUGGAAGCCAUUUCACUCCUUACCAGGUACAAAGAUAACAUGCUGCAUGGAUCAGGGACACAAACUUACCUACCUUAUGAUGUAGUGAAAGAAUCUAAAACUUUUGUCUCAGCAGACUCCCUGGAGGAAGCCAAUAACAGGAGGCCUUGACUAGGAGACCUCAAGCCUUGGAAUGUGCCCAGACCAGUGGGGAGGGAAGGCUGGGAGGCAGUCCUCCCUUACCCCUUUUCUCCCAGGCAGACCUACCCUGGGUUCUCUCCAGGCCCCUCCGCCUGAGCAAGUGCUCAGUUGGCCACUAGCUCCCUGCACAUCCAACAAGCCUUUCUUUCCUGUUCCUUCUUCAAGGAAGGCUUAGCCUCAAAUCCAGGGCCACAGACAAAGGACAGUCACUCUCCUCUGCCAGAAAGUCAUUUAUGGGACAUGGAGAAAGCAUCAAAUAUAUUGCUUUUCCAACACCUAACAGUGGAAUAGGAGGAAUAGAAGGAGAACUCAGCCAGAAAGUUCUGGAGCAUAGUCUUUUUGCCAAAAGAACACGUUUUCAAAUGAAAGAGGUGGUGCUGGGGCACUGAGGAAUCAGGGGGAUGGACCCCACUGGAGCUUGUCUCAUGCUGGCAGCAAGUCCCAGGCCUCAAACACAUACCUGGGCCACCUCAGGAGAGAGACUGCAGGGAAGAAAUGAGUUGCAAUGCUCCAGCCUAACCAACUCCCCUUUUGUUAAUCCAAUCCCAGAAGGUACUGGGUAGGGUCAGUUAACAGACAGCUGCCUGUCUCCUGGCAGAGUCUGACCAAGCCCCAGUGGGCGCUUCUCUUCCUAAGUCCUCUGGUGUACCCCAUUCUUCAAGGGAAACGGUCCCCUUAAGAAUCUAUGUGAAAGGGUUCUGAAAUUGCUGUACCAGUUAAUGAAUUAUUUACUCUAAACAAUGUCUUGAUAAAGGGGGAGGAUGAAGUUAGCUGAUGUUGACUAAGGAGAGACGGAGUUGCCAAGGAAAUUCUUCUAAAUGAAAAAAAAAAAAAA
rnacentral:lncRNA from 1 species